rnacentral:rRNA from 1 species
GAUGAAUGCUAGCGGCAGGCCUAAUACAUGCAAGUCGAACGGUGUAGCAAUACACAGUGGCGCACGGGUGCGUAACACGUAUGCAACCUACCUAUUAUUGGGGGAUAGCCUUUGGAAACGGAGAUUAAUACCGCAUAAGACAGUGACAUGGCAUCAUGUAGCUGUUAAAGCUUCGGCGAUAAUAGAUGGGCAUGCGUCCAAUUAGUUAGUUGGUGAGGUAACGGCUCACCAAGACGAUGAUUGGUAGGGGAUCUGAGAGGAUAAUCCCCCACACUGGCACUGAGAUACGGGCCAGACUCCUACGGGAGGCAGCAGUAGGGAAUAUUGGGCAAUGGGCGGAAGCCUGACCCAGCCAUGCCGCGUGCAGGAUGACGGCGUUAUGCGUUGUAAACUGCUUUUUUAUAGGAAGAAGAAGCCCUUGCGAGGGAAAGUGACGGUACUAUAAGAAUAAGCACCGGCUAACUCCGUGCCAGCCGCCGCCGUAACAC